rnacentral:rRNA from 1 species
UUCCGGUUGAUCCUGCCGGACCUGACUGCUAUCGGAUUGAUACUAAGCCAUGCGAGUCAUUGUAGCAAUACAAGGCGGACGGCUCAGUAACGCGUAGUCAAUCUACCCUAUGGACGGGAAUAACCUCGGGAAACUGAGAAUGAUGCCCGAUAGAACAUUAUACCUGGAACGGUUUAUGUUUCAAAUGAUUUAUCGCCGUAGGAUGGGACUGCGGCCUAUCAGUUUGUUGGUGAGGUAAUGGCCCACCAAGACUAUUACAGGUACGGGCUCUGAGAGGAGUAGCCCGGAGAUGGGUACUGAGACACGGACCCAGGCCCUAUGGGGCGCAGCAGGCGAGAAAACUUUGCAAUGUGCGAAAGCACGACAAGGUUAAUCCGAGUGGUUUCUGCUAAAGAAACCUUUUGCUAGUCCUAGAAACACUAGUGAAUAAGGGGUGGGCAAGUUCUGGUGUCAGCCGCCGCGGUAAAACCAGCACCUCAAGUGGUCAGGAUGAUUAUUGGGCCUAAAGCAUCCGUAGCUCGUUUUGUAAGUUUUCGGUUAAAUCCAUACGCUUAACGUAUGGGCUGCCGGGAAUACUGCAUAACUAGGAAGUGGGAGAGGUAGACGGUACUCGGUAGGAAGGGGUAAAAUCCUUUGAUCUAUUGAUGACCACCUGUGGCGAAGGCGGUCUACCAGAACACGUUCGACGGUGAGGGAUGAAAGCUGGGGGAGCAAACCGGAUUAGAUACCCGGGUAGUCCCAGCUGUAAACUAUGCAAACUCAGUGAUGCAUUGGCUUGUGGCCAAUGCAGUGCUGCAGGGAAGCCGUUAAGUUUGCCGCCUGGGAAGUACGUACGCAAGUAUGAAACUUAAAGGAAUUGGCGGGGGAGCACCACAAGGGGUGAAGCCUGCGGUUCAAUUGGAUUCAACGCCGGG